CCUACGGGUGACAGCAGUGGGGAAUAUUGCGCAAUGGGCGAAAGCCUGACGCAGCGACGCCGCGUGAGGGAUGAAGGCUUUCGGUUUGUAAACUUCUUUUGACAGGGAAGAGCAGAAGACGGUACCUGUCUAAUAAGCCACGGCUAACUACGUGCCAGCAGCCGCGGUAAUACGUAGGUGGCAAGCGUUGUCCGGAUUUACUGGGUGUAAAGGGCGUGUAGCCGGGCUGACAAGUCAGAUGUGAAAUCCCGGGGCUCAACCCCCGAACUGCAUUUGAAACUGUUGGUCUUGAGUGUCGGAGAGGCAGGCGGAAUUCCUAGUGUAGCGGUGAAAUGCGUAGAUAUUAGGAGGAACACCAGUGGCGAAGGCGGUCUGCUGGACGACGACUGACGGUGAGGCGCGAAAGCGUGGGGAGCAAACAGGAUUAGAUACCCUUGUAGUC
rnacentral:rRNA from 1 species